rnacentral:rRNA from 1 species
GAUGAACGCUGGCGGCGUGCUUAACACAUGCAAGUCGAACGGAAAGGCCCAAGCUUGCUUGGGUGCUCGAGUGGCGAACGGGUGAGUAGCACGUGGGUGAUCUGCCCUGCACUUUGGGAUAAGCCUGGGAAACUGGGUCUAAUACCGGAUAGGACCAUCGUUUAGUGUCGGUGGUGGAAAGUUUUUCGGUGUGGGAUGAGCUCGCGGCCUAUCAGCUUGUUGGUGGGGUAAUGGCCUACCAAGGCGUCGACGGGUAGCCGGCCUGAGAGGGUGUACGGCCACAUUGGGACUGAGAUACGGCCCAGACUCCUACGGGAGGCAGCAGUGGGGAAUAUUGCACAAUGGGCGCAAGCCUGAUGCAGCGACGCCGCGUGGGGGAUGACGGCCUUCGGGUUGUAAACUCCUUUCGCCAAGGACGAAGCGUUUUGUGACGGUACUUGGAGAAGAAGCACCGGCUAACUACGUG